GAUGAAGAACGUAGCGAAAUGCGAUAAGUAGUGUGAAUUGCAGAAAUCAGUGAAUCAUCGAAUCUUUGAACGCACAUUGCGCCCCUUGGUAUCCCGAGGGGCAUGCCUGUUCGAGCGUCAUUUCACCACUCAAGCCUGGCUUGGUGUUGGGCGACGUCCCCUUUGGGGACGCGCCUCGAAACGCUCGGCGGCGUGGCACCGGCUUUAAGCGUAGCAGAAUCUUUCGCUUUGGAAGUCGGGGCCCCGUCUGCCGGAAGACCUACUCGCAAGGUUGACCUCGGAUCAGGCAGGGAUACCCGCUGAACUUAAGCAUAUCAAUAAGCGGAGGA
rnacentral:misc_RNA from 1 species